UAACCUGCCCAAGAGAUCGGGAUAACACCUGGAAACAGAUGCUAAUACCGGAUAACAACAGAUGAUGCCUAUCAACUGUUUAAAAGAUGGUUNUGCUAUCACUCUUGGAUGGACCUGCGGUGCAUUAGCUAGUUGGUAGGGUAACGGCCUACCAAGGCGAUGAUGCAUAGCCGAGUUGAGAGACUGAUCGGCCACAUUGGGACUGAGACACGGCCCAAACUCCUACGGGAGGCAGCAGAC
rnacentral:rRNA from 1 species